UUACCACUCUGCGUGUUCACAGCGGACCUUGAUUUGAUGUCCAAAACAAUUAAGGCACGCGGUGAAUGCCAAGAGAGGAAUG
rnacentral:pre_miRNA from 1 species